rnacentral:rRNA from 1 species
ACUCCUACGGGAGGCAGCAGUGGGGAAUAUUGCACAAUGGGGGAAACCCUGAUGCAGCCAUGCCGCGUGUGUGAAGAAGGCCUUCGGGUUGUAAAGCACUUUCAGUAGGGAGGAAGGUAGUGUAGUUAACACCUGCACUAUUUGACGUUACCUACAGAAGAAGCACCGGCUAACUCCGUGCCAGCAGCCGCGGUAAUACGGAGGGUGCGAGCGUUAAUCGGAAUUACUGGGCGUAAAGCGCAUGCAGGCGGCCUGUUAAGUCAGAUGUGAAAGCCCGGGGCUUAACCUCGGAAUUGCAUUUUGAAACUGGCAGGCUAGAGUCUUGUAGAGGGGGGUAGAAUUUCAGGUGUAGCGGUGAAAUGCGUAGAGAUCUGAAGGAAUACCAGUGGCGAAGGCGGCCCCCUGGACAAAGACUGACGCUCAGAUGCGAAAGCGUGGGGAGCAAACAGGAUUAGAUACCCUGGUAGGAUAGCG